rnacentral:lncRNA from 1 species
UUCUUUCUUUUAUUUCACAUCUCUCGUGAUACCCUCUCUCUCAAAAUUCUAUAUUCUAUUAUUUCACACAUAAUAAUAAUAAUAAAACCAUGCACCGUUUUAAGUGUUUUAACCCUUGAUUACUGAUACCCUGUCCAAGUGACGUAGGGCCCCGUAACGUAUGACAAGGCUCUGCCUAAAUUCGUUGGGGGUUCUGUCUCGUGACGUAGGGAUAAAGUUGAAUUGGGUUGCUAUACUUAAUGUGAGUGCACUAUAUAUUUUAUUAAAUAAUCCAGGAGUUGUACCCAAAAUAUAACAACCCUCCCGAAUAUUUUUCUGACACCCUACACUUCCUAAAAUACACCCCGUAUGUGAAAACCGAGCCCGAAAUACAAUAUAUUAUUAAAAAUAAUCAAAAACAAGAAAAUAUAAGUUUAGGCGGGCCGCGACAACCCUCACCCUUAGUUUACGCGGGCCGUAUUAAGGUGUAACCGGAUUCCUUUAAUUUCAUUAGUUCAGACGGGCCGCGUACGACCCCGUUUAAGUUUAUGCGGGCCGCGAGAGUCCCAAAAGGUGGCGCAGCUCUGGGCCGCCACGUGGCCCAACACAUGUCGAAGCUAGAUAGUGACCCGGAUCACCUACGCUGUUGACCAGCGUUGACGCGGGCCGCGUAGACUUUGGUCUACCCUUACGCGGGCCGCGAGAAAACCCAGGUGAAGCACUAUAUAAUCAGGCCAUCGGAUCUUCAGUUGAAUUCGCUCACAAACGUUUCUUUCUCUCAAAUUUCUAAUAGUGGGCUUAUUAUACGCGGGUAUUAUACCCCCCUAAUUAGCAAAGCUCUGCCUCGUUACUAUAACCAGGGAAUCACAAAGGAAAGCCCUAUAAUAGCAAUGUAACUUAGUGUGAAGCCAAUAAAAGCCAGCUGGAGAGCACUGAAGGCUUGGAAAAGUGGCUAUAAAGUUACCUAAAAUAAAAUAGAUGUUUUUAUUAAUAAAAAUAGGAUUUAUUCCUAUGAAAGUGUGUAUACUGAAAACUUGGGUUUUACCCAUGUGUUUAAUAUUAUGAAAAUAUGGUGGUUUUACUCUGAUAAAAAUAUUUCCUAACUACGGUCCUGAUGAAAAAUUCCGCUGCCAAAUUAGACAAUACACGAUACCACCGAAACUGGCUCACGGCCGCCCGUUCCUGAGGGGUCGGGGGUUGUGACAGAAGGUGGUAUCAGAGCUAUGCCACUGGCUCAAGCCAAAGAAGUGUUCUGCUGACACUUAAGUUUUAAAUUAUGUGUUAGGAAAUUAAUAUAACAAUUUAUGUGUUAUUCUGUAGUAUGAGUA